rnacentral:lncRNA from 1 species
AUCCCCACCGAAUUCAACUGGCCUGAAGUAGCUGAGGUUUGUUGGGAAAAUGGGCUAAGCAUUUUAUUCGAACAAAUAUAGAACCAGAAUGGAUGGUUUUGUGUUUAUUACUAGUUCUUCCUCCUGAGUUGAGACCCAUCAUUCAGAUAGAUGGGGGUAAACCAGUGAGCUCGAAUAUUAAUGAACUAUAUAGAAAAGUUAUCUAUCGGAACAAUACUCUUACCGAUCUAUUAACAACAAGUAACUCCACGCCAGGAGAAUUAGUAAUGUGUCAGGAGAAUUAGUACAAGAAGUCGUGGCUACACUUCUUGAUAAUGGAAUCCGUGGACAACCAAUAAGGGAUGGUCAAAAUAAAGUUUACAAGUCAUUUUUAGAUGUAAUUGAAGGCAAAGAUGGAAUAUUUCGUGAGACUCUGUUGGGAGAACGGGUUGAUUAUUCAGGUCGUUCCGUCAUUAUCGUGUUACGAACUGUGAAU